rnacentral:rRNA from 1 species
CUUGAUAUUGGCACAAGAACAAUGAAAGGAGAUCUUGUGAAGUUUCUCAUGAAGUGUUAUGAUCCAGAGUUGUCGCAGCUUGUUAUCCCAGAUAGGGGGAAGAUUCCAGUUGAUGCAGCAAGCAUAGAAAGAAUCUGGGGUUUGCCAAGGGGACAGAGGAAGGUUGCAUAUGAAGUGGAGCCAGACGUAGUUAGGUUGUUCAAUGAGACGUUCAACAUCCCGACAAGGCCCGUGCCAACAGUGACCGAGUGGUGCAAAAUGAUAAAUGAUAUGGGAGUUGUUGCGGACGACAAGUUCUUAAGUGCCUGGCUAAUUGUUGUUUAUAGCUGUUUUCUUGCACCGACCACCAGCUUGAAGGUGUCCCCGCGCGCAUACUCAGUUGCGCAGAAUCCACGUGAGGUUGUGAAUUCAAAUGUUUGCCAGUUUUUCGUCGACCAACUUAGGCUUGCUUUCAUGGGUUUUGGAGACAAGAAGAAUACUAUAUGCUGCUGCCUUUUUCACCUAGUGGUAAAAUGA